rnacentral:rRNA from 1 species
GACGAACGCUGGCGGCGUGCUUAACACAUGCAAGUCGAACGGAAAGGCCUUUUCGGAGGUACUCGAGUGGCGAACGGGUGAGUAACACGUGGGUGAUCUGCCCUGCACUCUGGGAUAAGCCUGGGAAACUGGGUCUAAUACCGGAUAGGACCGCACUUUAGUGUGUGUGGUGGAAAGUUUUUUCGGUGCAGGAUGAGCCCGCGGCCUAUCAGCUUGUUGGUGGGGUAAUGGCCUACCAAGGCGGCGACGGGUAGCCGGACUGAGAGGUUGGUCGGCCACAUUGGGACUGAGAUACGGCCCAGACUCCUACGGGAGGCAGCAGUGGGGAAUAUUGCACAAUGGGCGCAAGCCUGAUGCAGCGACGCCGCGUGGGGGAUGACGGCCUUCGGGUUGUAAACUCCUUUCGCCAGGGACGAAGCGUUUUGUGACGGUACCUGGAGAAGAAGCACCGGCUAACUACGUG